AUUGAACGCUGGCGGCAGGCCUAACACAUGCAAGUCGAACGGCAGCACAGAAGAGCUUGCUCUUUGGGUGGCGAGUGGCGGACGGGUGAGUAACGCGUAGGAAUCUACCCAGUAGUGGGGGAUAACCUGGGGAAACCCAGGCUAAUACCGCAUACGCCCUGAGGGGGAAAGCGGGGGAUCUUCGGACCUCGCGCUAUUGGAUGAGCCUGCGUCGGAUUAGCUAGUUGGUGGGGUAAGGGCCCACCAAGGCGACGAUCCGUAGCUGGUCUGAGAGGAUGACCAGUCACACCGGAACUGAGACACGGUCCAGACUCCUACGGGAGGCAGCAGUGGGGAAUAUUGGACAAUGGGCGCAAGCCUGAUCCAGCAAUGCCGCGUGUGUGAAGAAGGCCUGCGGGUUGUAAAGCACUUUCAGUGGGGAAGAACAGAUUCGGGUCAAUACCCGGAGCCCUGACGUUACCCACAGAAGAAGCACCGGCUAACUCCGUGCCAGCAGCCG
rnacentral:rRNA from 1 species